CAGCAAGGCGAGGAGUACCC
rnacentral:siRNA from 1 species